UAAUUUUAGUUUUAGACCUUGAAGGUAGCCUCAGAAUUGUAGUACAGUCUUGUCAAUUGUAUUUUUAGAGCAGAUACUUAACUGGUCCUUCGGCAAGUUUCUAUAUUGGUAACAAGCACUAUUAACAGCCUCGCCAAUCUUUGGCUAUUUAUAGGCAAAAAGUCUGUAAACAACAUGGCUUUAAUGGAAGUUCUUCUCGUUGCGAGUGAAACCAGUUGCGGAAGAUGAACUUAACUUAUGACAAGCAUUUAGUUUGUGAUCAAAGUAAACAAUACUAAACUCAUUUCGAUUGGCCCAAAUCUUUAUAAACGAGGAAGACAAAUUUAAAAUUUGUAGCAGAAAAACACUUUUUAAAUAUUAUGUCGCAUUAGAUAACAGAUACAAAGAUCAGCCAAAAGAUUUUCACAAACAAAAUUGCGUACAAAUAUGCUAUAUAUAAAAAUUUUGGACUUUCGUCAAUUGUUUUGGAUGGCGAUGCUAUACAACAAGUGCGUCAUUUGGCACGUGAGACCAAGGGGUUGAGGGGCUGAGGUUAGCGGGCAGAUCAUACGGAGAACGUUUAGAGCUUAUCAAGCGGCAUUACGAAUUAUUCAUUUUGGUCAGGUGGUUGGCAGAGAUAAAAAACGACGCGCAGAUUUUGCAUGAUAACGGCAGAGAGUUGAACUUCGAGACGAAAAAUCGGAAGAAACGAAAUACUACGUCAUCAAUCAUGGGAUUCUCUAGUGACACUCUAAAGAGCUGAUAACACAAAAACAGAACAUUCAACUGAUGAAAUCAUACGUCGUGCUAAAGCAACUUGAACGCGUGUGCUUCAGCAUGAAAUUUCAGAUAACAAUACAGCUGGAAGUGUUUCCCUUAUUGUAAAUACAGAAAUGUCGGAUAAUAUCGAGAGGUUUUUCGAGAGCGAAGCGAAUAGAAGAGAACGACAGUGACUAAAGUUAGAUAUGGAAAAUAAAUAUGUACGAACAUAGAACAGAAAUGGAAAUAAAAUUAGAAUUAG